GUGCCAGCCGCCGCGGUAAGACAGAGGGUGCAAACGUUGUUCGGAAUUACUGGGCGUAAAGCGCGUGUGGGCGGCUGUGCAAGUCGGAUGUGAAAUCCCGUGGCUAAACCACGGAAGUGCACCCGAAACUGCGCAGCUGGAGUCUCGGAGAGGAAGGUGGAAUGCUUGGUGUAGAGGUGAAAUUCGUAGAUAUCAAGCGGAACACCGGUGGCGAAGGCGGCCUUCUGGACGAUGACUGACGCUGAGACGCGAAAGCGUGGGGAGCAAACAGGAUUAGAUACCAUGGUAGUCC
rnacentral:rRNA from 1 species